UAUUCCUGAAAAUGAUGGCCAUAAAACCC
rnacentral:piRNA from 1 species